rnacentral:tRNA from 1 species
CGGGAUGUAGCGCAGCUUGGUAGCGCACCUCGUUCGGGACGAGGGGGUCGUGGGUUCAAAUCCCGCCAUCCCGACCA